ACAUCGGAACGUGCCCGAUCGUGGGGGAUAACGAAGCGAAAGCUUUGCUAAUACCGCAUAAGAUCUAAGGAUGAAAGCAGGGGACCGCAAGGCCUUGCGCGAACGGAGCGGCCGAUGGCAGAUUAGGUAGUUGGUGGGAUAAAAGCUUACCAAGCCGACGAUCUGUAGCUGGUCUGAGAGGACGACCAGCCACACUGGGACUGAGACACGGCCCAGACUCCUACGGGAGGCAGCAGUGGGGAAUUUUGGACAAUGGGCGAAAGCCUGAUCCAGCCAUGCCGCGUGCAGGAUGAAGGCCUUCGGGUUGUAAACUGCUUUUGUACGGAACGAAAAGACUCUGGUUAAUACCUGGGGUCCAUGACGGUACCGUAAGAAUAAGCACCGGCUAACUACGUGCCAACAGCCGCGGUAAUACGUAGGGUGCAAGCGUUAAUCGGAAUUACUGGGCGUAAAGCGUGCGCAGGCGGUUAUAUAAGACAGAUGUGAAAUCCCCGGGCUCAACCUGGGAACUGCAUUUGUGACUGUAUAGCUAGAGUACGGUAGAGGGGGGAUGGAAUUCCGCGUGUAGCAGUGAAAUGCGUAGAUAUGCGGAGGAACACCGAUGGCGAAGGCAAUCCCCUGGACCUGUACUGACGCUCAUGCACG
rnacentral:rRNA from 1 species